rnacentral:rRNA from 1 species
UACGUAGGGUGCAAGCGUUGUCCGGAAUUAUUGGGCGUAAAGAGCUCGUAGGCGGUCUGUUGCGUCGGCUGUGAAAACCCGGGGCUCAACCCCGGGCCUGCAGCCGAUACGAGCAGACUAGAGUUCGGCAGGGGAGACUGGAAUUCCUGGUGUAGCGGUGAAAUGCGCAGAUAUCAGGAGGAACACCGGUGGCGAAGGCGGGUCUCUGGGCCGAUACUGACGCUGAGGAGCGAAAGCGUGGGGAGCGAACAGG